rnacentral:ribozyme from 11 species
UGUUCGCGAGGAAGCCAAAGUCGGGACUCCACUGGUCGUUGAUGUUGUUAUGGUCGAGGUCCAGCGUGUGAAGCUGCACAAAGCGCCGCAGAAAC